AAGGACGAAGAGGACGAUCGAGAAAGCGCGGAAACUCGAGGAGGGAACAAUGCCAAACGUUUGGCCGCACGGUAAAAGUCGACGGUGUGAUUUAUCGACGCUUGGCGUGGUCUUUCUGGAACAGUAAACAUGGACAGCGAAAGAGUACAAAUUCGUGCUUUUAUUCUUUACGAAUUUAAACUUGGCAGUAAAGCAGCAAAUUUAGCAAGACGCAUUUGUAGCGUUUGUGGGGAAGGUGCUGUUAGUGAAAGAACCGCACAGAAAUGGUUUAAAAGGUUCAAAGAAGGAAAUGAAUCGGUAGAUGACGAACCGCGUUCAGGGCGUCCAUCUGUCAUCAAAGACGAAAAAUUCAUCGAAUUGGGCAAAUGGAUACCGCACCGUUUAACGGAAGAGAACAAAUACUCCCGGCUGAGCAUUUGCAAUAUCCAUUUAUCGAUCGAAUUUUAACUUGUGAUGAAAAGUGGGUGGAAUAUGAUAAUGUACGAUGAUCACAUCACUGAGUUCAGAAGGGGUCAUGUGCAACAGGAACCAUACCAAAACCGAGUCUCCAUUCGAAGAAGGUGCUAAUCACUGUUUGGUGGACUACACGAGGUUAUCGUUUACGUUGAUUUUCUUCCACGUGGCAGACUAUUACUGCAGAUACUUAUUGCAAAGAAAUUGACGAAGUCAGUGAAAAAAUUGACGAUAAAUGGUGAUUAUUUUGUUGAAUAAACCUAUGAUUUAAAACA